rnacentral:rRNA from 1 species
UACGUAGGGUGCGAGCGUUGUCCGGAAUUAUUGGGCGUAAAGCGCUCGCAGGUGGUUCGUCGCGUCGUGCGUGAAAGACCCCGGCUCAACUGGGGAGGGUCGUGCGAUACGGGCGGACUGGAGGCCAGUAGGGGGAUGCGGAAUUCCGGGUGUAGUGGUGGAAUGCGUAGAGAUCCGGAGGAACACCAGCGGCGAAGGCGGCAUCCUGGACUGGUCCUGACACUCAGGAGCGAAAGCGUGGGGAGCGAUCCGG